rnacentral:rRNA from 1 species
UACGUAGGGAGCAAGCGUUGUCCGGAUUUACUGGGUGUAAAGGGUGCGUAGGCGGCUUUGCAAGUCAGAUGUGAAAUCUAUGGGCUCAACCCAUAAACUGCAUUUGAAACUGUAGAGCUUGAGUGAAGUAGAGGCAGGCGGAAUUCCCCGUGUAGCGGUGAAAUGCGUAGAGAUGGGGAGGAACACCAGUGGCGAAGGCGGCCUGCUGGGCUUUAACGGACGCGGAGGCACGAAAGAGGGGGGAGCAAACAGGAGGAGAGACCCCGGGAGGCAGGCGGACGGACU